rnacentral:rRNA from 1 species
UACGUAGGGACCAAGCGUUGUCCGGAAUCAUUGGGCGUAAAGAGCGUGUAGGCGGCUUGUUAAGUCUUGCGUGAAAUCUCGGGGCUCAACCCCGAGCGGUCGUGGGAAACUGGCAGGCUAGAGUGCGGGAGAGGAGAGUGGAAUUCCUGGUGUAGCGGUGAAAUGCGCAGAUAUCAGGAAGAACACCCGUGGCGAAGGCGGCUCUCUGGAACGCAACUGACGCUGAGACGCGAAAGCGUGGGGAGCAAACAGG